rnacentral:rRNA from 1 species
AGUGAACGCUGGCGGCGUGCUUAACACAUGCAAGUCGAACGAGAACGGAUUAUAGCUUGCUAUAAUUGUCAGCUAAGUGGCGCACGGGUGAGUAAUGUAUAGGUAAUAUGCCUCUUACUAAGGGAUAACAAAUGGAAACGUUUGCUAAUACCUUAUACUCCUUAUUAACAGAAGUUAAUAAGGGAAAGAUUUAUUGGUAAGAGAUUAGCCUGUAUUGUAUCAGUUAGUUGGUGGGGUAAUGGCCUACCAAGACUAUGACACAUAACUGGUUUGAGAGGAUGAUCAGUCACACUGGAACUGAGACACGGUCCAGACUCCUACGGGAGGCAGCAGUGGGGAAUAUUGCACAAUGGACGAAAGUCUGAUGCAGCAACGCCGCGUGGAGGAUGACGCAUUUCGGUGCGUAAACUCCUUUUAUAUGAGAAGAUAAUGACGGUAUUAUAUGAAUAAGCACCGGCUAACUCCGUGCCAGCCGCCGCAGUAA